rnacentral:rRNA from 1 species
UACGGAGGGUGCAAACGUUGCUCGGAAUCAUUGGGCGUAAAGCGCACGUAGGCGGCCUGUUAAGUCGGAUGUGAAAGCCCCGGGCUCAACCCGGGAAGUGCAUUCGAAACUGGCGGGCUUGAAUAUGGAAGAGGGUCGCGGAAUUCCCGGUGUAGAGGUGAAAUUCGUAGAUAUCGGGAGGAACACCAGUGGCGAAGGCGGCGACCUGGACGGACACUGACACUGAGGAGCGAAAGCCAGGGGAGCAAACGGG